GUGGUUCCAGUUGUCUUUAUACUGAGUAUUGUUGUUUGGCUUCUCAGGAUCAUGAAUGAGAAGAUGACGCUGAGAAACGAGAUCAUGGGAUCCGAGCUUAACAUGCUGAGAAUUGACAAAGCUAAUUUUUUAAAAGAAAAACGCUUAGGUUCAAAUGGAAAUGGGAAUAAAUAUGACUGAUGCAGAUGUACGCUCAUACACUUUCAUUCGAGAUCAUGCUAUCAGAAGAAAUGGAUGGAUUACCUUGAUAAUAAGAUCUUCUGAUUUUAUCUUCUAUAAAACAAAUAAAAGACUGAAAAUAUGUUAAGCUCGAUAGGAGAAGAUAAAACAAACAUUUUUCUGUAUAGAUGUCAAAAUAAUGUGCGGAAUAAUAAGAUGAUUAAACUGUAGUUGAACUGAAUUGAGUGAAUGUUAGAUAGCUGGUAGCCAUCAUAACUUAACUAUUAAAUUUCCCGUUAGCUAACUUUUAGUAGUUCCAGAUUUGAAAAUAAUUAAUUUUUGAUAUUGUUUUUUUUUGCUUUUAUAGCUUUUGUCUAAGGUUUUUUCAGCAUUUUUAAUAAGUUUUACGAGCAUGGAGCUAUGACCUUAAAGAACGAUAACUUAAAUUAAAUAAUUUUCCGCAUGUGUUUUUUUGAUAAUAAAGUGAACCUGCCACGUAGUUACGUUUUUAAAAAUGAUAUUAUUCAAUUCUGCAAACAAAACCUGAAUCUGAGAAUAUUUUUUAGUUAUAUUAAUUGUAUUUAUCAGCCAUCUUGUUACUGUACACGAAA